CUCCAUUCUAUUAUUAUUUCUCUUCUCCUCUCUUCUUCUUCUUCCCUGUUCUCGAUCUCUACGUUCUUUUCCUGAUAAGUCUAGGGUUGAUUGCUUUUGCGAAUGACAGAUCCAAAUCUAGAGUUGCAGGAGGCAGGUUGGGAGGAAUUGAGGAAAGAGGCCAGAAAGAUCCAAGGGAUAUCUUAAUGUGAAGUCCUCUUCCUACGCUAAGCUCGGAGCAAGGUUUACCCAAGCAGGAGGUUAUGCAGAUAUUGGGUCACCCACUCUUGGGUCCAAGUCUAUUGAUUCAAUCUUUGUUUGAUACCAAUGAUGCCAUGAGCCGAUGUGCUACAUCUGCAGCACUUACUACCUCUGUAACACAGAAACUAGCAAGGCACAGAGAUAUACUUCAUGAGUUUACACAGGUUGUUACCUGUGGCAGCAUUCCAUUAGAGUCAUCGUACCAGAGGGUGCCCAGGUGUGUAUAUGUAUCUACAGAAUUAUACGAGUAUAAAGGAUGGGGUGAAAAGUCUGCAAGCUCCAAGCACAGUCCAUUUUCAUGGGGAGUUAGGCAUUCAGAGAUAUUAAUCUUGCUGCAAUGAGCAUAUCAUCAACAUAAAGCAACAAGUGAACAAGAGAAUCAUCUACAAGUUUCCUGAAAUAAACACAACUAUUAUACUUGCAACUAGAAUAACCAAGAGCCACUAUAAUAGAGUCAAAUCUUCUAUACCAUUGCCUAGGAGAUUGUUUUAAGCCAUAUAGAGAUUUUUUUAACAAGCAAACGUGGUCUUUCAUCCCUUCAACAACAAAACCCUCGGAUUGAUGCAUAUAAAUUUGUUCAGCAUAACCAUAUCUCUGGGGAGGUCUAAUCUCUCUCCUUGUUCCACCUGUAGCAAUAGAAUACUGUUCCUCUUCUUUCUCUUGUACAUGUUCUUCUAUCUCAGUAGAAAUGGGCACCUGGACUGAUGUAAGCUAAGGUGAGAAAACACUUUUAACUUCUAACUCCACCAUCUUUCCUUAACCUUGUGUUUUAUUUACAUCAUAAGAAUUUGAAGACUCCUUUCUUGGGUUAAGCAUAGUUGAUUCAUCAAAAGUAACAUCUCUACUAACUAUGAAUUUUGGUGAUUUAGGAUGAGGAUACCACAAACUGUAUCCACACCUUAAGCAUAACCAAGAAAUAUGCACUUCUUGGCCCUAGGCUCAAACUUGCCUUCAUUAACAUGUGCAUAUGCUGAACAACCAAAUAUUUUUAAAGUUGAAUAAUUAGGAGGGUUGCCAGACCAUACCUUUUCUGGAGUCUUACAUUCAAUGGUUGUAGAUGGAGAUCGAUUUACCAGGUGACAAGUCAUAUUAACUGCUUUCGCCCAAAAAUCCUUUGAGAGACCAGCAUUUGACAACAUGCACCUUGCUCUCUCUAAUAGAGUUUUGUUCAUAUGUUCUGCAACUCCAUUCUACUGCAGUGUUUUGACAACAGUACGAUGCCUUAUAAUGCCUUCAUUUUUGCAAAACUCAUUAAAUUCAUUUUCACAAAACUCUAAACCAUUAUCUGUUCUCAACCGCUUGACCUGUUUUUCUGUUUGCUUUUCAAGCAAAGUUUUGCAAUGUUUAAAAGUCACAAAUACAUCAUUCUUAUGCUUCAGAAAAUAAACCCAUACCUUCCUGGAGUAAUCAUCGAUGAUGGUAAGAAGAUAUCGAGCACCACCCUUUUAUGGAACUUGUGAAGGUCCCCAUAGAUCUAAGUGAACAUAAUCCAAAGUGCCCUUUGUCCUAUGAACGGCUGUACUGAAACUAGUUCUUUUCUGUUUCCCAAAAAAACAAUGUUCAUAGAAGUCAAGAUUUACUAUACUUUCGCCACAAAGAAGGCCUCUCCUACUUAACAUAGUAAGUCCCCUUUCACUCAUAUGUCCUAGCCUCAUGUGCCAUAACUUGGUGGUGUCAGACUCAGAUAGAGAUGAUGUAAAAUUGCAAUUGAACCUGUGAUAGUAGUACCCUGCAGCACAUACAGACUUCCUAUCUUCAUGCCUUUCAUCACAACAGGAGCACCCCUAUUGAUUUUCAGAACUCCACCUUCAGCUGAAUAUUUACACCCUUCAGCAUCUAGAGUGCCAAGAAAGAUGGAAUUUUUCUUUAAGUCCGGUACAUUUGUUAAUGUUCUCACAACACCAUCAUGCAUUCUGAUUCAAAUUGUUCCUUUUCCCACAGUUUUACAGGAGACAUUAUUACCCAUCAAUACAACUCCACCAUUAAUAGAUUUGUAGGUGGAGAAUUAGUCCCUGUUGGGACACAUAUGGUAGGAACAACCUGAAUCCAGAAUCCAUUCAUCCUUGGAUCUUGUUCUAUCAUCUGCCACUAAGAGAAUAUCCACAUUCUCAUCCUCGGCCACAGUAGCCUCUGUAGAGUUAUUUUUGUUUUCUUUUCUUCAUUUUGGUUUUUAUUUUUCAACUUAUAACAUUCUGACUUAAUGUUCCUUUUCUUGUGACAGUAGUUACAGGUCAAGUUCUUAUGUCUAGAUUUUGAUCUAGACUUAGAUUUAAUACUUGAGCCAUUAUCCUUAGACCUCCCUCUUGCAAACAAUCUAGAGUCUUGACUAUCACCCUAUUCAUAGUCAAAUAUUUAUCAAUCACCUCUUUAGAGAGUAAUGCCUUUUUAACAUCCUCUGUACUAAUGGUGUCUCUUCCAUAGAUGAGAAACUCUCUAUAAGACUUAUACGAGGGUGGUAAGUAACAAAGUAACAAAAGGGCUUUGUCUUCAUCUUCAACCUUAACAUCAAUAUUUUGCAGGUCCAUGAUAAUAGAGUUAAAUUCAUCAAUGAGAUUUUAUGGGUGUACCUUUAGCCAUCCAAAAUAGGAACAGUUUUUCUCCUUCCCGUACAGAUCUUUGUGUAGUCUGUAUUGACCCAAGAUGGCAUGCAUCUUGACUUGCCAAAUACUGAAACUGAUGCUACCAUCGAACUUCUCAAUAUCAAACUUUAUUGAUGACAUUAUAAGUGCCAAAUGAAAAAUAGGGUUUUGAUACCAGUUUGUUGCAUGAAAACCCAAGAAAACAGAUUCGUAAUGGUACUCAAAUGAAAAUAAAACAAAGAUAAAGAGAAAGCAAGCACAAAGAACACACAGAUUUACGUGGUUCGGCUUAUAGCCUAUAUCCAUGGGCGAAGGAGGAACAGAAAUCCACUAUGAAGUAGGUAAUGGAGAAGAAAUAUAGAGUUGUGCUCUCAUAGAAAACCCUAAGCCCCAAAUACGUCCAAUGUCUCACUCUCACUCCCACAAGACUCAGACUUCUGUAUACAAGAGAGAAAACCCCCGAAAUACAUGACUCUUCAUAUUCGGUUCGGACCUAUAAGAUGAAUAUGGGUCGGGUCUAAGCCCUACGCAUCCACCACAAACCACUAUGAAAAUUUUCCUUCGGGUUUUUCUCAAAUCAAUUCGGAGUGGAUUCAUUAAGUGGGUCGCCACAAAGAAUUCAAGGCACAAACAUAACAGUCGCCACCUCUAACCCCAACUCCUCUAUGACUUAAUUCCCAUCCCAAUUUGAGCAAAGCCGACAUUUCUGCCACCGUUGCCAUCUGGUUGUUCUCGAGCUUUUGAGUCAAUUAACGUAAAGGGAAUUUGCUGCAAAAGACAAUCCGUGACCAUCGAUCGAACAAUGGACAAUGGGCUUCCACUAUCGUCGAUCGAUGUCUACUUCUCGCUAUCGGAGUGACAGAUUGGGGGAGCUUCAGGCGAUGCCUUACAUUUCUGAUUAUUCCUCGAGACCAUGGGGAGUUUGGGCUCGACGGAUCGAUGUGGUCGCCCAGAGGGGUUUUAGGGAGGCUCUUAGCAGGGGGAUGAAAAGAUCAAGGAGUGGGGAUGGAGUAUACUGACGGCCAUUGAAGGUGGAGACAACCUUGGGGGAGAGGUCGAGGGAACUUACGAGGUCGGCAUUAUCUAAAUAU